rnacentral:rRNA from 1 species
AUUCUAGAAAAGACAAUUUCAUUGCUCAAUAUAAAUUUAUUUUUAAUGAAAAAUUUAAAAUAAUAUUUUUAGACGAUAAGACCCUAUGAAGCUUUAUUAUCAAUAAUUUUUUUGGGGAAAAACUUAAUUUUUUUAUUUAAAUUUAGGGAGAUACUGAUCUUACAGAAAUUCUAGAAAAAGCUACUCUAGGGAUAACAGCAUAAUUUUUAUUAGAGCCCAUAUUGAAAUAAAAGAUUGUGACCUCGAUGUUGAAUUAAGAAAACUAAUUUGUGCAGCAGCUAGUUAGGUAAAGUCUGUUCGACUGUUUUAUCUUACAUGAUCUGAGUUCAAACCGGA